GAUGAACGCUGGCGGCGUGCUUAAUACAUGCAAGUCGAACGAGGAACUUUUGUCUUCGGAUAGAGGUUUCCUAGUGGCGAACGGGUGAGUAACGCGUUGGUGACCUGCCCCGAAGUGGGGGAUAACAGUUCGAAAGGGCUGCUAAUACCCCAUGCCGUCAUGGCGCUUAGAAAGCCAUGCCGAAAGGUGCAAACCGCUCUGGGAGGGGCCUGCGUCCCAUCAGCUAGUUGGUAGGGUAAUGGCCUACCAAGGCGACGACGGGUAGGGGACCUGAGAGGGUGACCCCCCACACUGGCACUGAAACACGGGCCAGACACCUACGGGUGGCAG
rnacentral:rRNA from 1 species